rnacentral:rRNA from 1 species
AUGGGGAAGAAGAAGAAGCGGGUGGAGAAGGUGUUCUGCUACUACUGCGACCGGGAGUUCGACGACGAGAAGAUCCUGGUGCAGCACCAGAAGGCCAAGCACUUCAAGUGCCACGUCUGCCACAAGAAGCUCUCCACCGCCGGCGGCAUGGCCAUCCACGUCCUCCAGGUCCACAAGGAGUCCGUCACCAAGGUUCCGAAUGCCAAGCCCGAGAGGGAUUCCACCGAGAUCGAGAUCUUCGGCAUGCAGGGGAUCCCCUCAGACGUGCUCGCCGCCCACUAUGGGGAAGAGGAAGAACCUUCAAAGGUGGCCAAAGUAGAAGUGCCGACAAUAAGACCUCCUAUUAUGCCUAAUUAUCCGCUAGGCAUGCCUUUUCCUCCUCGGCCUUAUGGUGCAGCCCGCCCUAUGUAUAAUCCUGCAAUGAUGGUCCGACCUCCGAUUUGGCCUCUUCAGCAGCCGCAACCUUGGUUUGCUCAACAACCACCGGUUUCAGUUCCCCCAAUGAUUGCUGGGCAAGCACCACAGCAACCACUAUUUCCCAUUCAAAACAUGCCCAAUCCUAUGAUGACAUCAGCACCUGCUAAUUUACUUCAGACAUCAUACCCUAUGGCCACCACAGGGGUUCCUUCACCUGUUGCCCCUCAGGCUUCCCAGCCUUUGUUUCCUGUUAACACCACUGGCAAUGGAGCAGCAAAUUCCUCAUUCAGCUCGUCAAUUUCACCUGCAACUAUUGCAGCAAAUUCUCCAGCAUCAGUUGGUACUGCAGGAUAUGGCUAUGUUGCUAAUAACCAUGGUACAGGAGGGCCAGCAGUUGGACAUCCACCUGCACCUGCCACUAAUAGUAAAACGUCUGCUACUCAACCAGCUACGAGCGAGGUCUAUCUGGUGUGGGAUGAUGAAGCAAUGUCAAUGGAGGAAAGAAGGUUGGCUCUGCCCAUGUACCAGGUGCAUGAUGAAACUAGCCAGAUGAGCUCGGUUGAUGCAGCGUUCGAUCGAAGAAUAUCAGAUAUUACAUUUUCUAGACAAUCGACAUAA